AGCACAACCGUCACCCAAGUCCCCCCGCGCACCACAAUCCGAUCCACUCAGACAAAUAAAUAAAAAAUCCAAAAAAAACCCUCGUCCACCCAACGCCGAUUGCACACGCACCCACUUCUAUUGCGAUUCACACAACUCCCACCCAAAAUCUAAUCCAUCUCCUUCCUUUUCUGAAUCUCCAUUGUUAACCACAACACAACCACCACCACCACCACCACCACCACGGCCUCUCCCCUCUCUCGCUCUUCUCAUGUUCUAAACCCUCUUUCCUCCUCCUUCACUCUAUCUUUCUUUUUUUUUCGUGAGUAUAUACAUACACGCAUCAUAUAUACUCACGAAAACCUCCCAACAUAUGUAUGCAUAUAUUUAGUGUUGCCUUUGGUUUCUGAUCUUUUCAAUCCUCGCCAGCAUUUGCAGGAUUCAAUCGUAUAUAUUUUCAUGUCAUUGCAAGAGGGUACAACAAUCAUGGAUCUUGAGCUUGGUGUUUCUGGACGUCGAUCUUUUAAUCGGGCAGGCAGUGCUGGUUCUUCUUUGAGAAGGCGUUCUUUUGGUUUCACAAAUGCUGAAUCCACUCAAAAAGAUGAUGAUCUUGAAAGUGAGACUGUUUCAGAGGCUGGAGAUACUGGAGAUCGGGCACUUCGCAGCAAUAGUUACAGUGAAAGUAGCAGGCAACAAUUGCCUGUUGAUAAUGUGACUGAAACUGGUAGUGUUGUGCCUAUUCCUGAGGAUGCUUUAUUCCGGCCACAUGGGUUUUGGUCCCAUGAUCCCACUGCAUUAGCCGUUGCCUCCCCUGUAUUUCCAUCGACAAUGGAAACUAUAUCUCCUCUUUCUACAGAGGCAGUCAUACAUUCUGAUGACAAGCAGCAAGAGAAUAGGAAAGAGUUACCGUGGCUAUUGGACUACACUUCAUGCCUCCUCCAUCUUGCUGUUUUUGGAAUUCUCGGGGUUUUAACGAGGUAUUUACUGCAAAAAUUGUUUGGCCCUGGAGUAAUUGGUGCCACAAGCGAUCAAAGCAUUUUGUACCUUGAUCUUCCUUCUAAUAUGGUUGGCUCGUUCUUAAUGGGGUGGUUCGGUGUUGUUUUCAAAGGAGAUAUAUCCAGAGUUUCAGACCAUCUAGCCAUUGGACUGACAACUGGUUACUUGGGAAGCCUUACAACUUUCAGUGGUUGGAAUCAGAAAAUGCUUGACCUGAGUGUUCAAGGAAAAUGGGGUUUUGUUGUACUUGGGUUUCUCGUAGGCAUGAUUCUUGCUGAUUAUUCAAUCAAAUUUGGAAUAAGGACAGCUCAGGGCCUAAAAUGGAUUCUGGAAAUGUCAAACUUAUUUCCAGUAAGUGACCUUCCUAACUCUAAAAGCAAUUGGAAGGCAGACUAUUGCAAGCGUCAAGUAGCAGUUUUGGUGGUGCUGCUAUUGAUGCUAGGCUUGUUAUGGGGGAUAAGUGCAGCUUUGGAGAAGAGAGAUUUUCACAGUGGCAGCAGUGAAGCACAGCUAUGGUUAGCUUGCAUUGUUGGACCUUUCGGUGUGUGGAUCAGGUGGUUCUUAGCCCGGCUUAAUGGCCGUGGCCUGGGAAAAGCAGGCUUGUGGAAAUGGCUUCCUAUUGGGACUCUAAUUGCCAAUGUUUCUGCAGCUUGUGUCAUGGCAGCACUUGCUAUAGUAAAGAAAGCGGUGAAUACAACUACCUGUCAUACUGUUGCAACUGGCAUACAGUUUGGACUGAUGGGUUGUUUAAGCACCGUUUCCACUUUCAUGGCUGAGUUUCACGCAAUGAGUCAGAGCAACCACCCCUGGAGAGCAGAAGUGUAUGCCGUGAUCACUAUUGCACUGUCGUUCAGCUUGGGAACUCUGAUAUACUCAGUACCUGAUUGGGUCAUGGGCUAUGAUUAGUGUGUCCGAGUCCAUUACUUUGAUUCUUUCUUCAGCUAGGCUUGAUAAGGUUGCCAACUAUGGGAAGUUAACUUUCCGAACGAGUCCAACCUCAGCGGUUACAUGGCUGAGGAGCUCGAUCAUGUAAGAAUUCUGCAUCGUGGAACAAGCAGCAACAACUAACUUGGCAUAAAAAUCAUCAAUUACACAAGUGAAGUAGGAGAACAUUUCAAUUACGAACUGUUUGUUUGCAUACAAUAGGUUUAAGACACUAUGCUUUGAUGUGUGUUUGUGGAUUUGAAGCUUCAUGGGUUCAAAGCAAUAAAUUUUGGUUGUGAUUCAUGAAAUAUGUUGGUUGCAUUAAUUUUCUUGCUUGAACACAGAUUAUUCAACUGUUUCUUUCAAAUAAAAAAUAUUUCUUUGGUA